ensembl:lncRNA LINC00941 long intergenic non-protein coding RNA 941
GGCAGCCGUGGGACUGGCACAGGCUCCUCGGCAGCAUUAUGGGCAGCUGGUAGAGCGGCCACUUCUGAGAGCCGGAUGGGCCUUCCGAGGUCGGGCCGUGCCCCGCUGGGCAGCGCAGAGGGGGUGUGUAGGGCACGCGACUUGGAGCCAGGUCCAGACCCAUCCUGGCUCCUCUCAGGGCUCCUUCCCCUGCCCCCAUUCCACCCCAGCCCUGCUGGCUGUCCCGCAGGACCCAGCGCCGCGGUAGCCUUCUCUGAACUGCGGCUCAGGCGGAGGUGUCACUCCUGCCUCCAGCCCAGGAGGGCAGGUCAGGUUAUGCAACGCGUGCCGCGCGAUCUCCCCCCACCUCCAACCCCCUUUUCUCCCGGGUCCACACCGCAGUUCCCACCGCUCCGGGUGUCCUCCCCAGUGCGCCGCGAUUUUUGUGUCCAAGCCCCAGAGUCCCUCUGAGACCAACCCCCAGCCAGCACAGACUUCCUGCCUUCCCAGCUCGGGUAGAGACAGCUCCGGGCCGGGGGUGGAGGAUGGUGCGGUGGGGAGGAGGCAAGGAAAUUCCCAGCCUUCCUGCGCGAACCUGGGAGACCAGCAGGCACCUGGUCUCGUCCCGCUGGGUCCCCUCCGCACCCAAGACUGUCUUCCCAAGUGGCUUACUCCACAGAAGGAAUGUCGUCAGCUGAUUAUAUCUGAUUAGCAUCCAGUUCCGACGACUCAUCCCUUAAAACGGAUGUGGUCUCAUUAGGUUGCCCAAGCUGGACUUGUACUCUUGGCCUCAAGAGGUCCUUCCAUCUCAGUCUCCCAAGUAGCUGGGACUACAAGCAUGCACCACUACACUCAGCCAAAUACUUUCAAUAAUUUGCCAGCUGACAACUUGAUUGGGUUCUCCUUCAGGUUUGAAGCGCCCUCGAGAAGUGUCUAAAGGAGACAGUUGAUAGCCAAACAACAGUUUUGGAUUCACUGACUGAUUAUGAAAGAAGCAGUAGACUGGUAUCAAGAAUCAGUCAGCAAGGAGGCCCUCACCAGACGCCAGUGCCAUGUUCUUGGACUUCUCAGCCUCCAUAUUCAUGAACUAAGUUUUUGGAAUCCUUAGGCUUCCACGUGUGGAAAGCCUGAGCUAACCUACUGGAGGAUGAGCCAUCACCUGGAGCAGAUUCAGGCCAUCCUAGUUGAAGCCUCCCUAGGCCAAGCAACCGUCCAACUACCAGACAUUGACCAUUCAGCCUUGAACAUUCAGCACAAAGACAAAACAGACCAGACCAGAAGAGUCCCACAGAAUAGGGGAAACUAUUCAGAGAAAACUUAAGCCACUAAGUUUUAUGGUGUUUUGUUCUGUAGCAGAAGCAUAGGCAUACUGACAAUACAAACCGAAAUCCUUCUAACGUAGUGGACCUUUUCAGGCCAGCAUUUUUUCCUUGAAAACCUGGAGCAUGUAUCCAUCUUAUAGCAGAGAUCACUUUCACAAUGUUUGGGCUCUUGAUUUGAAUUGAUGAUGUAAUGAGCCCUCUAUCCAGAUUGUAACUAAUUACUCUGCGAAUUGACUGGAUUCCACACCCUUCUAAUAUUUUACUUUUCCUCUUUUAUCAACUCUCAUUCUUGCUGCCAUGAUCAAUGGACCAACUAUGCUUAUAACCACAAAUUUUGAUAUGCUUAAACAAAUGAACAAAUAUAUUUAAUAAUUUCUUUUUUUUUUUUGA